rnacentral:lncRNA from 1 species
ACAACUAAGGAAAUUGAGCAAUACUGGACUUGGCUGCUCACGUUCGGCUGUUGACCCAGUUUGAACAUCCUCUAGACUCCAAAAUUUACGAAAAAUCAUUCUAUUUUGAAAAAUUCACCAAAAAAUAGUACACACUCUUUAUAACAUGCAUUUUCAUUCUAUGACUUUAAAUUCACAAUUUGACCUCAAGGAAAAAAAAAAAAAAUUUCUAAGUUCCACAAUUAAUGUUACUUCGUAAUUUCAUUUCAACUAAAGUAAGUCAAAA